GUUCCAGACACUUCUCAUCUGAUAUACAAUAUUUUCUUAAAUUGUAUAAAGAGAAAUUAUUGUACAUCGGAUGAGCUGUGUCUGGGAU
ensembl:miRNA MIR944 microRNA 944